ensembl:lncRNA
CGAACGUCGAGAUACUGACUCCGGCAAGAAAAAGCCUGCGCCACAGCCACCACGGCCACCACACCGCAGAAUCGUCCAGCAUCCAAGUCCAGAACCUUCAGCUCCUCCGAUUCCUAAUGAAGAGGACACACUACAGUUCUUUGAUGCGGUGAUUGCGAGCUGUGAUCCAGAGCGCACCAGGAAACCACACAUAGAUGAUGGCCAUGCAGACGUGGACUUUGUUGUGGCUACCAGUACCUGUGAACAUGAUCUCCACUCUAAUUGGGUUUUGCGGGACCCUCGGCGGAUAUCCAUGGACGAAUCUCGUCUGAAGCGUGCAGACAUGAGCACGGAGCAAGGCGCUUGGAAGAAGGCGGUUGGCGGGACCACAGGCAGCACUAGACGUCUUCAGCGAAACCCCAUCCACCUGCCCAAAGUGGUGGAGAGUGCCUUCCAGACCUUGCGCUUCAAACCAAAGCUUAAGAAGAAAGAUUAGCAUGUGGAAUUUGAAAAGAACUCUCCAGUAACUUGGCAAGGUCAAGCAUGAAUAUCAGCAAUAGGGAUUCUUCAGAACGUGCCUUUAUUGUGGUUAAACCAGGUUUUGGUUUCUAUGUGGUCUCAGAGAAAGAGAUUUUGAUAAAAGUGUAAAGACUAAAAGAUUCUACAGCACAAUACGUUGCAGAAAUGGACAUCUGGAGGUGUUUGGUCAUGUAGAGUGAUAGCAGUGAUAGAUUUUGAUCGUCCACAAAUGUUACUUGCAAGAGCAGGUUCAUUGUGCUGGGUGUGGAUGAUGGUUUCAGUUCAGAAUGAAGCAGUAAGAGUCGUCAGGAAUGAGCAGUCAUCUGUUGUGGAACAUAGAAGCUUGGUGACGUAAUACUGGGGUCCUGGAGAUCCCUCACUGGCCCAGCUUCAUCAAUUAUCCAUGCAAAACUAGUCUCAGUUUCAGCAACUCUUAACAACGUUACACUCAGGCCUCCACCAGGGCAUGACCAAGCCGUUCCAGAUAGAACUUCCGUUCAUAGAGUUAUCCAGCCCGAGUAACAGGACUCUCGCCUGCUAACAAACCUCAGCUACAGAUUUGUCUACUGAUCUGUCAACGGUCUGAUUAAUCAGUCAGUCGAUCAGGUGCUGAGACAAGGGAUGAAAAGCACAAUGGGGUCCUCAGGCCAUUUCCAGGUUCCUUUGUCGCUGCUGAUCUCAAGCCCUCUGGAUAUUGGAUAUGGAUCAGAUAACUGAAACCUGGCCAAUGUUCAGAUCUACUGACCAGGAUUCGUUGCAGUUUUGUCCUUGUGUAAACCCAUGAUCUGCAGUCCACUGGGAACUUUCAGAAAAUUACAAAAUACAUUCUCAAUCAUCAAAAAAAUCAAGGCUGACAGACAGGAUGCCAUUAAAGUCAUAAAAAGUCAUAAAUAUGUUCUGAGUAGAGAUGCAAAUUUUUGACAACUGACCGCUAUUACUCUUUAACUAGUCACUAAAAACAGUUUAACAUUUACCGUAUAGUAUUAGCCCAAGUAAAUGAACAUAUAUAUAUAUAUAAGAUCAUAUGCAUAGUUUAAACAACAAUCAACGCAGUCAGCAAUGCUUUAGAACUACAUAACUACAUAGGCUAAUUAUUAGUUAAACACAUUUUGUGAGUUCAGACUGUGCCUUCAACAUGGCGGUGGUAGUAUGAAGGAAGACUGUUUAAGGGAGACAAGACCUCUGUGAACUUGGGCUGAAGUUCUGGGCAGCUUCUCCCUGUAGCUAGAAGGCCAAACCCCUCAUAGCUGUAGUAGGAGUGAUGUAGGUCUGAGGAACAAGGACGAGAUAGGGUGGCGGUGGGGAUUGAGAACCCUUCGUCAUGGGAACCAAACCUGAGGAUAUGAAUUUAUAGGGCAUUAGAUUGGAAGGAGGAGGCUUGUUCCUCCCCCCAACCUCAGUUAUAACUACAUUUGUAGGCUAUACCUCAAGGCUCCACUCAGCAGUAGCAACAUUACAUUUUAUAAAGAGUCAGUUGUAGCUGCCUUAGCACUGUAACAUUUGGCUAGAUAUCCUAGUUGUGACUGUGCUGUAAACUACAUUUAGGAUGGUUCUGCUAUAGCCCUUUAUCAGUGGCUCAGGUACCAUUGGUUAAAAUUACGUGAAGCCAAGGAGUCGAGACGUGGAGUUGACUCCAGAAAAGUCGUGCAUCACUAAUGAAUUAAAAACUUGCCUGUUUGUGUAUUAAUGUCACAAUAACUUUUCAACUAAAAUCACUGGGUAACCUUUUUUGUAUUUGUUGGUUAACUGUAAUUGGUUAAUCGUUAAUAUCCCUAGAUGAAGGACUGAUGUUUUCCUUUACCAAGUGCCUUGUUUUGGUAGAUUGAGGGUUGCUUUUUAGGCAAAAAAAGAAGCCUAAUCUUUACACAUGAACUGAUUAUCCAUAUUUGUCUAACCCCCAAAACGGGUUUAAUGAGUGACCAAAUCUGUUAGUGCUUGUUUUACCUCAAAGUAUGAUUUGUAAAAGAUGAAGUUGUGGUGAGAGAUGAUCUCACUUUGUUUUUAAAUAAAAGCUUGGUAAGAGGAACCUGUGCACUGCUAGUUUCUUCUUCUCAGGAAAGAGGAAACAGGGUUUAUAUUUUGCCAAACUAAACCAGGAAAGCCCCA